GACCCCAUCGUCCAGCCUGGCCCAGGACGCCGGCCUUUCAAGCCGGUAACGCGGGUUCGAAUCCCGCUGGGGUCACCA
rnacentral:tRNA from 1 species